rnacentral:lncRNA from 1 species
UGGCGGGGUUAAACAUGUUAGCGGGAUCCCAACUCUUCCCCUAACCUGGGACAGUGGUUUAACAGUACAACAUAAGAACAAACUAUACAGAUCAGUUGAAAAAGGCUUAACUCAUCUAAAGACUGAAUUCUCUACCUAACAAUAACGUUCGAUAACCUUGUAUACAUCAUGUUAUCAAUUUGUUUCUAUCAAUGAUAAUCAUAAAUUGGACAAUAUACAAAUAAUAACAAAAUAUCUUUU